rnacentral:lncRNA from 1 species
CUUCGGGCGCUUAUUUUUUGGCGCGGCUGUGCCCGCGACUUCCCGCGGGCACCCCGAGGCCCCUCACAAAGUCUCGCCCCAUUGCGAGUCCGGCGGACAAACUUCGCCCGCGCCCCCCACCAAGGCUAUAGCCCACCCGUUUUUUGGCCAUUUUUCCGCUGGGGGGUUUUGGAACCACGACCUUCGGGCGCUUAGUUCUGGGCGCGGCUGUGCCCGCGACUACCCGCGGGCACCCCGAGGCCCCUCGCAAAGUCUCGCCCCAUUCCGAGUCCGGCGGACGAACUUCGCCCGCGCCCCCCACCAAGGCUAUAGCCCACCCGUUUUUUGGCCAUUUUUCCGCUGGGGGGUUUUGGCACCACGACCUUCGGGGACUUAUUUUUGGGCGUGGCUUUGCCCGCGGCUUAUUUUUGGCACCCCGAGGCCCCUCGCAAAGUCUCGCCCCAUUCCGAGUCCGGCGGACGAACUUCGCCCGCGCCCCCCAACAAGGCUAUAGCCCACCCGUUUUUUGGCCAUUUUUCCGCUGGGGGGUUUUGGCACCACGACCUUCGGGCGCUUAUUUUUGGGUGCGGCUGUGCCCGCGACUUCCCGCGGGCACCCCGAGGCCCCUCGCAAAGUCUCGCCCAAUUCCGAGUCCGGCGGACGAACUUCGCCCGCGCCCCCCACCAAGGCUAUAGCCCACCCGUUUUUUGGCCAUUUUUCCGCUGGGGGGUUUUGGCACCACGACCUUCGGGCACUUAUUUUUGGGCGCGGCUUUGACCGCGACUUCCCGCGGCUACCCCGAGGCCCCUCGCAAAGUCUCGCCCCAUUCCGAGUCCGGCGGACGAACUUCGCCCGCGCCCCCCACCAAGGCUAUAGCCCACCCGUUUUUUGGCCAUUUUUCCGCUGGGGGGUUUUGGCACCACGACCUUCGGGCGCUUAUUUUUGUGCGCGGCUAUGCCCGCGGCUUAUUUUUGGCACCCCGAGGCCCCUCGCAAAGUGUCGCCCCAUUCCGAGUCCGGCGGACGAACUUCGCCCGCGCCCCCCACCAGGGCUAUAGCCCACCCGUUUUUUGGCCAUUUUUCCGCUGGGGGGUUUUGGCACCACGACCUUCGGGCGCUUAUUUUUGGGUGCGGCUGUGCCCGCGACUUCCCACGGGCACCCCGAGGCCCCUCGCAAAGUCUCGCCCAAUUCCGAGUCCGGCGGACGAACUUCGCCCGCGCCACCCACCAAGGCUAUAGCCCACCCGUUUUUUGGCCAUUUUUCCGCUGGGGGGUUUUGGCACCACGACCUUCGGGCACUUAUUUUUGGGCGCGGCUUUGCCCGCGACUUCCCGCGGGCACCCCGAGGCCCCUCGCAAAGUCUCGCCCCAUUCCGAGUCCGGCGGACGAACUUCGCCCGCGCCCCCCCCCAAGGCUAUAGCCCACCCGUUUUUUGGCCAUUUUUCCGCGGGGGGGUUUUGGCACCACGACCUUCGGGCGCUUAUUUUUGGGUGCGGCUGUGCCCGCGACUUCCCGCGGGCACCCCGAGGCCCCUCGCAAAGUCUCGCCCCAUUCCGAGUCCGGCGGACGAACUUCGCCCGCGUCCCCCACCAAGGCUAUAGCCCACCCGUUUUUUGGCCAUUUUUCCGCUGGGGGGUUUUGGCACCACGACCUUCGGCACUUAUUUUUGGGCGCGACUGUUCCCGCUACUUCCCGCGGGCACCCCGAGGCCACUCGCAAAGUCUCGCCCCAUUCCGAGUCCGGCGGACGAACUUCGCCCGCGCCCCCCACCAAGGCUAUAGCCCACCUGUUUUUUGGCCAUUUUUCCGCUGGGGGGUUUUGGCACCACGACCUUCGGGCACUUAUUUUUGGGCGCGGCUUUGCCCGCGGCUUAUUUAUGGCACCCCGAGGCCCCUCGCAAAGUCUCGCCCCAUUCUGAGUCCGGCGGACGAACUUCGCCCGCGCCCCCCACCAAGGCUAUAGCCCACCCGUUUUUUGGCCAUUUUUCCGCUGGGGCGUUUUGGCACCACGACCUUCGGGCGCUUAUUUUUGGGCGCGGCUGUGCCCGCUACUUCCCGCGGGCACCCCGAGGCCCCUCGCACAGUCUCGCCCCAUUCCGAGUCUGGCGGACGAACUUCGCCCGCGCCCCCCACCAAGGCUAUAGCCCACCCGUUUUUUGGCCAUUUUUCCGCUGGGGGGUUUUGGCACCACGACCUUCGGGCGCUUAUUUUUGGCCGCGGCAGUGCCCACGACUUCCCGCGGGCACCCCGAGGCCACUCGCAAAGUCUCGCCCCAUUCCGAGUCCGGCGAACGAACUUCGCCCGCGCCCCCCACCAAGGCUAUAGCCCACCCGUUUUUUGUCCAUUUUUCCGCUGGGGGGUUUUGGCACAACGACCUUCGGGCGCUUAUUUUUGGGCACGGCUUUGACCGCGGCUUAUUUUUGGCACCCCGAGGCCCCUCGCAAAGUCUCGCCCCAUUCCGAGUCUGGCGGACGAACUUCGCCCGCGCCCCCCACCAAGGCUAUAGCCCACCCGUUUUUUGGCCAUUUUUCCGCUGGGGGGUUUUGGCACCACGACCUUCGGGCGCUUUUUUUUGGGUGCGGCUGUGCCCGCGACUUCCCGCGGGCACCCUGAGGCCCCUCGCAAAGUCUCGCCCCAUUCCGAGUCCGGCGGACGAACUUCGCCCGCGCCCCCCACCAAGGCUAUAGCCCACCCGUUUUUUGGCCAUUUUUCCGCUGGGGGGUUUUGGCACCACGACCUUCGGGCGCUUAUUUCUUGGCGCGGCUUUGCCCGCGGCUUAUUUUUGGCGCCCCGAGGCCCCUCGCAAGGUCUCGCCCCAUUCCAAGUCUGGCGGACGAACUUCGCCCGCGCCCCCCACCAAGGCUAUAGCCCACCCGUUUUCUGGCCAUUUUUCCGCUGGGGGGUUUUGGCACCACGACCUUCGGGCGCUUUUUUUUGGUCGCGGCUGUGCCCGCGACUUCCCGCGGGCACCCCGAGGCCCCUCGCAAAGUCUCGCCCCAUUCCAAGUCCGGCGGACGAACUUCGCCCGCGCCCCCCACCAAGGCUAUAGCCCACCCGUUUUUUGGCCAUUUUUCCGCUGGGGGGUUUUGGCACCACGACCUUCGGGCGCUUAUUUUUGGGCGAAGCUUUGCCCGCGGCUUAUUUUUGGCGCCCCGAGGCCCCUCGCAAAGUCUCGCCCCAUUCCGAGUCCGGCGGACGAACUUCGCCCGCGCCCCCCACCAAGGCUAUAGCCCACCCAUUUUUUGGCCAUUUUUCCGCAGGGGGGUUUUGGCACCACGACCUUCGGGCGCUUAUUUUUGAGCGCGGCUGUGCCCGCGACUUCCCGCGGGCACCCCGAGUCCCCUCGCAAAGUCUCGCCCAAUUCCGAGUCCGGCGGACGAACUUCGCCCGCGCCCCCCACCAAGGCUAUAGCCUACCCGUUUUUUGGCCAUUUUUCCGCUGGGGGGUUUGUGGCACCACGACCUUCGGGCGCUUAUUUUUGGGCGCGGCUGUGGCCGCAACUUCCCGCGGGCACCCCGAGGCCCCACGCAAAGUCUCGCCCCAUUCCGAGUCCGGCGGACGAACUUCGCCCGCGCCCCCCACCAAGGCUAUAGCCCACCCGUUUUUUGGCCAUUUUUCCACUGGGGGCUUUUGGCACCACGACCUUCGGGCGCGGCUUUGCCCGU